rnacentral:rRNA from 1 species
UACAGAGGGUGCGAGCGUUAAUCGGAAUUACUGGGCGUAAAGCGUGCGUAGACGGUUAUUUAAGUCGGGUGUGAAAGCCCCGGGCUUAACUUGGGAAUUGCGCUCGAAACUACUUGGCUGGAGUGUGGCAGAGGAAGGUGGAAUUCCAGGUGUAGCGGUGAAAUGCGUAGAGAUCUGGAGGAACACCGAUGGCGAAGGCAGCCUUCUGGGCCAACACUGACGCUCAUGCACGAAAGCGUGGGGAGCAAACAGG